rnacentral:misc_RNA from 1 species
GUGAAUCAUCGAAUUUUUGAACGCAAAUUGCACUCUCUUCGGAGCGUAUGACUGUUUGAGGGUGAGCCUAUAAAAAAUCGAUAUUGUAGCUGUUUCGCGGGGGCGUUCGUAGGAAAUUGGCCGAUUUUAUAUCUUUUGGUUUUAAGAGAUGUAAAAUUCUCAUUGAAUUCAUGAACGUUAAUAAGAUUAUUUCGUUAAAUGUUUAAGGUAUCGAUUUUUAUUAGGUGUGCAUGUAAUAUU